rnacentral:sRNA from 2 species
GCCUAAUGCCCUUUUGGGCGUUUCCUCCCUAGACUUUAGACCGCGUCGCGAAGCGAUGCGGUCUUUUUUUAUGCAUCC